AACGAACGCUGGCGGCAUGCCUAACACAUGCAAGUCGAACGCGACAUUCUGGUCCUGUCGCGCACGGGUGCGUAUCGCGUCGGAUCCUUCCCUUAGGUUCGGCCUAACUCCCCGCGAGGGGUGCUAAUACCGGACAAUAUCUACGGCCCCAAGAUGUAUCAUCUUUGAUUGGGUUCGCGUUGGAUUAGCAAGUUGGUAGGGUACAAGCCUACCAAGGCGAAGAUCCAUAGCUGGUCUGAGAGGAUGACCCGCCACACUGGGACUGUGACACGGCUCAGACUCCUAGGGGAGGCAGCAGGGGGGAAUAUGGGACAAUGGGCGAAAGCCUGAGCCAGCAAGGCCGCGUGAGUGAUGAAGGAGUUAGGGUUGUAAAGCUCUUUUAACCGGGAUGAUAAUGACAGUACCGUAAGAAUAAGCGCCGGCUAACUACGUG
rnacentral:rRNA from 1 species